GUACAGUACUUAAUCUUUGUUUCAUGUUUGUAGGUCGAAACCACACCACAAAACUCACAAAAGAAGAAAAAAUUAGAAUGAGUGAUAUGAUUGGAGUAGAUUACGACAGCCUGGCAGGGCUCAUGGAUGUUCCGUAUCCAAAACGAGAGCAAAUCAGAGACAAUUAUAUAUAUUCUAGCUUUUUUUUAAAAGCCAUGCAAAUUUUCACGUAUUUUAAUGACAGCAAGUAUUUCGAUCGUUGUAAUUUGAAAAUGUGCUUGAAAGAACUGGGACGAUACGAUUUGGAAAACGAAAUGCUCCCUGUAAAAAAUGAG